ACUUACGACAGAGCCUUAGCCUUGUUAUAAAACUUGGACCAGCUGUAGGGCUAGCCGGCGGGUUGAUCUUGGAACGGCAGGUGGAGAGUCGAACAUUAGACAGAGAAUUCACAAACUGGAUUUUGAGUGAGGCAUGUACUGGCCCCAUCAUCAGGUAAACAGCUGGGACCAUCCUCAACCGCAAUCGUGAACAGUCGUGUCAUUCCGGCAUAGCCUACGGAAAAGAGCGAGAGACGAUCCAUAACGGAUCUCCAUGGAGACCGCUGUUUACACGACGCCAUUUUGGUUGUUGCUGCUACACUUCGUUUCCUCGUCAGUGUUUGCAUUUCGCUCUUUAUCCCGCACGUAUCCCACGUUCUGCACGAUGUAUGCUUCUGUUGCUUUGGCCUAUCAUCAAGUUGACAAACACUUCUCCACACAAUCGUAAAGGUUGUCAAGACUGGAGACGGUUUGCAACCAACUGAAAUGGAAGUCGCAGACAUGGAAGAAACGUGAAAACGACAAAACUGAAUCGACUACACUGUGUCCUCUAAGAUUUUCAGAAUAAAAAUGAAUCGUUCAU
rnacentral:lncRNA from 1 species